rnacentral:piRNA from 1 species
UCCAACCUGAAAAACCAAGGAUAUAUGCCU